AUACGUAGGGAGCGAGCGUUGUCCGGAAUUACUGGGUGUAAAGGGUGCGUAGGCGGGACUGCAAGUCAGAUGUGAAAUGCCGGGGCUCAACCCCGGAGCUGCAUUUGAAACUGUGGUUCUUGAGUGAGGUAGAGGUAAGCGGAAUUCCUAGUGUAGCGGUGAAAUGCGUAGAUAUUAGGAGGAACAUCGGUGGCGAAGGCGGCUUACUGGGCCUUUACUGACGCUGAGGCACGAAAGCGUGGGGAGCAAACAGGAUUAGAUACCCUGGUAGUCCACGCUGUAAACGAUGAUGACUAGGUGUGGGGGGACUGAACCCUUCCGUGCCGCAGUUAACACAAUAAGUCAUCCACCUGGGGAGUAUGGCCGCAAGGUUGAAACUCAAAUGAAUUGACGGGG
rnacentral:rRNA from 1 species